GAACGAUUUGGGCGGUCAUUUUCUCUCACCUCUCAUUUUCCUCUCUCUCUCCCUCUCUCUCUCUCUCAUAUGCUCAUCUUUUUUCCAUCGCCGCCGGCCCGCCGCCCACAUCCUUCGUCCAGGGCCGGCCUCUCCCUCUCCCUCUCUGGCCGCCGCGUGCGCGCGGCUUCACCUCUUCGACGAGGUUCUGUUCGCUGUGCGGGAAUCACGCGAACCACAACACACGCCUCCUGCUGGGGCCGCAAACCACAUCCACUGGCCGAAUUGGGAACUCGGAAUCCUAUAAUCCCACCUCCAACGGCUGACGCGCGGGGGCGGUGGAAAACUACAUCUCCGCCGCGGCGACCCUCACCAGCGUCACUUUCUAGGUCGAGAUGGACGCCUCACCCAGGUCUCGCUGCAACACCACGCGCAGAUCAGGUUCGGUUCGACUUCCCGAUGGAAGACCGGAUACGGAUAGGGGAAGGCAUCCACUCUAACUGCAGUCGCAUCAGGUCGAUGGUCGAGAUCGACCCCGGCUGCUUCGCAGCGACGUAGGCGUGGUGCCCCGGAGAGGCGUGGGUGAAGCAGGAGGAUGUCUAUCGGCUAUCGCUGCUCUUCUUCUGCUGCGUGGAGGAGCUCGAGGUCUCCGCCGGUGCGCUGUCUGCAGUGGACCUGUGCGGAGGAGCUCCAGGUCUCCAUCAGUGAGCGGUAUGCAGGGGAACGAGAUCGCAGCAGAUUCUGGUCGAUGCCGACGGGAGGAGCACGCUGCGUCGAGCAGGCCACGCCGCACCGCGGAAGGAGCAGUCUGUCGUUGAGGCAGGGUCUUGGGCGAGCGAGCUCCUCUUCCCUGUAUCCCUUGCCAACGCCGGCAGACUCCAGUGCGGUCGAACGAGCGGGAGUUGAGGGGCGGCGCUGCGGCACCGGCCGGAUCGUGCAGGCGGGAGCAGCCAGCUCGGCGGGGAAUCUGUUGGAGCGGACAAUCUGGUUGGCAGCCUGUAAGAUCAAUCUAUUUCUGCUUAUUCGUGCAGCAAAUUUCGAAAUUGCCAACACACACAUCCUAGCUUGCUUGAUUGAUUGAGCGUGCUGGCUUUCAAGAUGAAUCUGGCUUUUUUUUGUGUGCGUUUGAUUCAGUUUAGAUUUAUGUGUCUGGACUGGUUGUAGUACCAGUCAUAGUAAUUUAUUUUGUUCUUGCAGCCUUCCACUCCAUGAACACACGAUGUCUGUACUUUUUCAUACAGCUCAGAGUAUACUCUGUUUCUCCUUUGCAUAUUUCAAAUGUAUAGCUACAUAAGUUCUAAUAAACUAGCUGAAAACAUUUGGUCAUUCCUUCUGCAACUGUUUCACACUCCUGCUGCACUAGCCAUUCAAUUGUUAAUUAUGAUCAUGUGUUUACUACAAUUUUAUACUUAACUGGUAUGCUAGCAUAGUAAAUCUCACACAUCUUUCUCCAUUUGCUCAUGUGUUGUAACGAGUAGCUGACUAGGGGGUAGCUGUGAGUGAACAAGGCUGCUUGGCAAAUGAAUAAUUGAGGACUUGAUUAUUGUACGACGGGAAGCUGCUAUGCUAUGGACAAAUUGGUCUCGAAUUGUUUAUUGUGAUACUUUAACAAGCAAUGUUGUUCUGCUGUGCUGCUCAGUUUUUUAUGUGAACUUCCCCUAUAGUUAACUUGAUCUAUCCAUUCACAAUUACUCUAAAUUGAUUGGGAAUUCUAAAAGAAAAUACAUUGGUAACUUCUCUGACCAUACAUAUUCCCAAUUGCAAUACAUCGACAGAGUAUCACAAGAUUUCCAGAGAAUUUAUUUAUUGACCAGGAAACCAGUCUAUCGUUGAUAUGACUCCUUUGUACACACCUAGAUUCCAGAAACAAUUUUACCGACAGAGUGCUACAAUAUUUUCUGGUCAUUGGUCACCUUUCAUCGUUUCCCCCUGUUGGUUUGAGGAUAUUGGCCUGGAGGGAUUCCCGUGAAGAUACAUAGUUGAGAGCUUGAAGAAAGCCUGAUCUGAUCAUCUGUAAAUGAGCUAGCUGAGACUGUAACGGACUGUUCAAAAUUAGGAAAAAAUUAGGCCGCAGCAUGUCGGUGAGCACCCCAGCUGCUGCCGGUUCCCCUCCAAGCACGAGGUCAUUCAUCCCAUCACCAAGAGGCGUGGCGCUUGCAUGGAGACACGGCGAUGAUUCAGAUUCUAAGAUUUUUCAACUUGACAGAUCAACGUUGGAGCUACAGGUUCAGGACGCGAUACUAGCAGAUGGACGGCGGGGCAAGGAUGAGCGGCGGGACUUCAAAUGAUAUGGAUGCUUGGAGGUGUGAAAUUCAUCUCGGCAAUGGAAAUACAGCCAUACACUGGAUAAGGUAGCCAUUUAUUUACCAAAACCUGUAUUUUCUCAUUUACAAUUCUACGUCGGUAUUUGAUCACCUCAAGAAAAGGAUUAAAAAUACUUGUGAUGGCCAAAAAUGAUGUGCCAACUAUUAAAACUAUAAAUAUUGUAUACCAGGAGGUAAUGGACUAUCUGUAAGAGUAUGCACAUCAGAUCAUAUCAUGGUUGCAGCCUUGCAGGUACAUUCAGUAACUUCGACAUAGCUUCAGGUAUAUCUGUGCUUUGAAUUCAGACAAUUAAAACAUUUCCUCAAUUCUUUAUCCAGUGUUCAUCUAAUAUAGAGGAAUUUGGGCAGCUUACAUCUACAACGUUGCACAUUUAUGUGAACAAGACUUUGUAUUAUGUUCCCUGUCUCAUCAAUUUUAUUGUAUGCCACUUCUAAACCAUGACACAUCUGUUAGUCUGUACACUUGUUUGUUAGUGUUUUCACUGGACUUCAUAAAGCGGCGAGUAUUUUCCGUUAACUUACUGAUAAACAGCACACCAUGCUUUUGGUUAUUAGGCAAAUUGUUCUUACUCUCUAUAUUAGAAAUAUAAUAAUCAGAUCAUGUUUAAGCUAAGUAAUAUUUUAGGCUAGGUUAUCCUUUGUUUUACUAUCCAGGUUGAGUAUUUCAAAAUAAACAUGAAAACCAUGCUUUGGGUUAAUUGCACAUAUUGUACUUACUGCCUAGGUUAGGAAAAUAAACAACAGACCAUGUGUUACGCUAAAUCAUAUUUUAGCCUAUAAUAUCCUAUAAUUAGACAUAUUGUUUUUACUGUCCAAGUUGAGUAGUCCGUUACCUGGUGCAUGUUUCAGAAUAUUAACAUCAAGUCAUGUUUCAGGUUAAGUUAUCCUAUAAUCAGACAUAUUGUUCUUGUUGUCACUGGUAGAAAAAUAAACAUUGGAUUAUGUUUUCGCUUAAGUUAUCCUUAAAUUGGGCAGACUUCUUUUUCUCUCCAAGUUGAAUAGUUCGUUACAUAGUGCACUUCAUUUACCAACUCGCAGCAGGGCAUCGUUUAUAAUUAUCCUUGUGCUCUAAACAAUUUCUUAUUUUUUUCUGCUCUCCUUUCAGGAGAUGCCUUGCAUGUUCCUAUUUGAAAGACGGUGGUUCGUCAAGAAAGGUAGGCUACGCGCAAUCCCUUUGGUUCUUUAAUGCCAGCCCCUAGGAGUGGAAUCCACAGUACAUUGAGAAUAGGCAAGCAAAGAGAGGAAGAUCCAAAACACAUGUCGCCUUAGCCUCGCAGGCAUGCAAGCUACUUUUCUGAUCCUCGCUGGAAGGUAAGUGGAUAAAAAUGACAGAUCACCAGAAAAUGAAUUAGCUCUUUCACCUUUCAGGUUUGGAAUUCACCUUUGCCACUAAACUGGCUUCUAUCAAAGUUCUACUACCUUCGCAUUAAAAUAAGACCCUGGAAAAUCAUGAAAAUGACAGAAAUAUGAUGAGAAUUAUUUCAAGGUAUAUCCCCUCUUUUGCCAUAUUUUCUUGACACUGGUAAUCCAUCAUGUUUAGAGGUUAAUGAUAGUUUUGCCAAUGAAGGGGAAUUUGCAAUGAAUGCAAGUGCUGGUAAAAUUAGUUAGCCAGUGCAAAUUUUAUAAUUCAUGAUCAGUUUAAAUUUUAACUUGUGCGUUGUUGCCUGUGGAGAUCUAUUACUUCUUUUGGCCUCGACCGUAUCUUCCAAACUCACAGAAUUAUAAGCUACCAUGUGCUCAAACUUUUACAAUACUGAGUUUGGUAAGUACUAUUUGUUCUAGAAGAAUUUACAUACAUCAUAUGUAAAAAUAGAAUGUGUUUCGAAACAUAAAUACAUGUAAAGAAUUUCACUGCCAUGUACAAUCUCUUGAAGUACUCCGGUAUGUGAAUGAUAUAAUACUGUUAAAAGUGAAAUGUGUUAGAGAGGAGCGAAUAAUUAAUUGUGUGGUUCAGAUUAUUUGUUAAUAGUGUAAUCUUAUGGAAUUAUGCAUAAGCACAAAUUAAACCUUUUUUUUGUAGUUUCUUAGCCCACCUGGAGUGAAUGAUAGUCUAUACACCUUGUUUCAGAAAGAUUUGGUGUUGGGUUUUGUAAGAUGUUAUUAUAGGUGCUCCUUGUAUAUUACAUAGGACGGUCUUGCUGUCAGAUAUAGAACUGCAUCGAGCCAUUGCAGAGAAACCACCUAAGAUAUGGAAAAAGACUUGAAUAUUGGGUAUAACAUAAGUGAGGGAUCUGUUCAAGUGAUGUAGAAUACAAAAGUUGUUAUGCACUGCAUUCAUCCGCCAGAUUGUAGGACACUGGGCAAGUGAGUGUAAGUAACUUACUGCAGUUCUGUAUAUUUUUAUAUAAUAAUGAAAUUGUAUUUUCCAAGUCCAUCCCAUCUAGAAUUAGCUAGAACGUGACCAUCAUAUGUUUUUAAUGCGUCAAAUUUUAUGUUAUUUUAUCCCAUCUCCACUUCAUAGUUGAAUUAUGUUGUUUCACAAUAUACAAUACCUGAUUUAUUUUAGCUAUUUUUAGCCUGUUAGAAGCUCAGUAUUAGGACUGACAACUUGACCAACUUCGUUUCUAAAACUGUUUUCGAGGAUUCAGUUGCAGUGAAUGAGAUAAUGGAGGUGCGACAUGAAAAGACGUGCCAUUGAAGAAUUCAUCGAGUCAGAGAAUGAGAUUACACGCGUCACCAACUAUACCACCCAAGCAGGAGCAGCUUCGUUGGUCGAAUCCGGAUGACACCAACCAGGGCCCUCGACAAGCGAUCCCUGGAUAGAAGACCAUUUAGCCACACUAUCUGUCCGCCCUGCAGGUACAGCUGACGACAUCAUCAUUCUCUCCUCUGACAAAGACAACGCCCGCGAGACUUCACCGUGCAAGGGGCAGGAAUUUUCAGAGCACGUGCCUACUGCCUAGGCAUGGUGGUCUACAUUACUGUUUAAAUUCAAUUUUCUGCAUGUGUAUUUCGGUCUAUCGUCAGUUAUGUGGUUAGUGUUCUGCAUCCUGUUAAUGUACAUCGCUCAACUAGCUAUGUAAUGGAAUCUAAAGUAAUAUGAGCAGUGAUGUUUCCUAUUCCA